GGGUCAUAUACCCAUUUACCCUAUGUGAAAUAUGGGUCCAGAAUGACCCAUUCCAGACAUUGUGGUCAUUUUUCAAAAAUAUGUGGUUAUUAUUUUUUUUAAUAAGCAUUAUCAAGUUAACCAAUUAGGUUGCGGUGACUUAGUUAGACCCCGUUUGUUUACCUCUUAAUUGAAAAACUAAGAGGUAACUUCUUAAAAAUUAAGAUGUGGCUUGUUUGGUACCCUCUUUACUAAAUACCCCUGAAUCUAAAAAAAUGUCUCUUAAAAAAUAAGAGAUCAACCCACAUCUAAAAAGAAAAAAUAGACGGGAGCUGCCCUCCCUCUCCUAGGUCUCGCUCUUUCUUUCACGCCUCCAUUUUUUUCUUUCUCAUCCCCGCACACAAGAACCUCCCUCCAGAUCUACUGAGAAGUUGUGUUCCCUCCCCAUCAUCGCAAUCGACGGCUUCAUCUCCGCCUCCAGCUUCAUCGUCGAUGUCCUCUCCGACACCUGCACAUCCGAAGAUUUCUACAAACAUGAGAGAAAACUCGUCAAGCAUAAGGGGGAGAAAGUGAUGACCAAAACAUACAUGAUAUGAAAUGGGGUUCAGAAGGCAACGAAUAUAUGACUAAUUUGUGUAACCAAAUUGCAAAUCAGUUGUGGUUAAAUGCUUAAAAUUAAAUUUGUAGGAUUUUGUUUGGAUUUCAGUAUGAUUUGUGGAUUUAAAAAUAUUUAUGUUUGAUUUGAAUUUGUGUUUAAUUUUGAUUAAUGCUCAAUUUGGAUUUUAUA